ACAUCUUACGGAUGGCCCAGGGCUCCAAAGGCUCGUUUCCUAAGUGAGAGAGAGCCUGGCUGAAGCUGUAUUACCAUUCAUUCUCCAGCCUCCGAAGUCUCAAAGCAUCACUUCCACCAUACUCUAACUGUCAAGACAAACACAAAGGCCCAGAAACUGCCAGACUGUCUUCUGAAGUGGCUAUAAUAUUUACACUCCCAUCAGCAGUGUAGAAGGGGUCUCACUAUGUUGUCUGGAGUGCUGUGGUGGAGUGGAGUGGCUAUUCACAGAGCCUGUUCUGCUGGGACACAGAAUCACUUGCUCCAUCUCAUACAUUGAUGAUGAUUAAUUUGUAUGUGUACCUUCCAAAAAAGAUGGUUGUGUUUGAAUGGAGGCCUUCUGGACAGGAAAAUAAUCACAUCCUUCCUGAGAUAAUGAGCACACAAUUGCCUGGAUACCUGAAGGAAUGGAGACAGCGGCAGAAAACACUGCAGAGAGGUGGAAACAUCCGUUAAUAUUUUAAAAUCCCAUUACUGCUACCAACAAUAAUAAUGGAUGCAUAGAAAUAGAUCUGGAUUAGCUGAGCUUGAAACAGUCCAUCUCACACACACACAAAAGAAUUUCAGAUACAGUGAACCCACAUGUUGAAGCUUUCUAGUAUAAUAAAAAUUUCAACUGUUCUGUUGAAUCAUCUGCCUGAUUGGAGGCUACAGAAAAGAUGUCAUCUUAGGAGUGCUUGCUCUGAGUGAGGCUCAUCUUCAAAUCUGAAUGACCACAAGGAGAUUUGAUUAUACAUGUGAACACCUCAGAAGGCACAGCCCACCCAGAAGGCAGACAGGAGGAGACAGACACUAGAGCUCACCGGCUCGCCCUCUCACUCCUACUCAUCUGAGAAGGCAGCCAGCUAACCCUUCAGCCAGGAAGAGGGUCCUCAUCAGAACCUGGCCGUGGUGGCAUCCAGAUCUUGAACCUCCGGACUCCAGACUGUGAGAAAAUAAGUGUGUUGUUUAAAC
rnacentral:lncRNA from 1 species